UGGGGAAUAUUGCGCAAUGGGCGAAAGCCUGACGCAGCAACGCCGCGUGGGGGAUGAAGGCCUUCGGGUUGUAAACCCCUUUCAGCAGGGAAGAAGCGAGAGUGACGGUACCUGCAGAAGAAGCACCGGGUAACUACGUGCCAGCAGCCGCGGUAAUACAGAGGGGGCAAGCGUUGUCCGGACUUACUGGGCGUAAAGCGCACGCAGGUGGUAACGCAAGUGGGGUGUGAAAGCCGCCAGCUCAACUGGCGGAGGCCAUCCCAAACUGCGUCACUUGAGGCCUGUAGAGGUAUGUGGAAUUGCCGGUGUAGUGGUGAAAUGCGUAGAGAUCGGCAGGAACACCCAGGGGGAAACCAGCAUACUGGACAGGUCCUGACACUCAGGUGCGACAGCGUGGGGAGCGAACAGGAUUAGAUACCCGUGUAGUCC
rnacentral:rRNA from 1 species